rnacentral:rRNA from 1 species
GAUGAACGCUGGCGGCGUGCUUAACACAUGCAAGUCGAACGAAGCACCUUGAUUCGAUUCUUCGGAUGAAGAUCUUGGUGACUGAGUGGCGGACGGGUGAGUAACGCGUGGGUAACCUGCCUCAUACAGGGGGAUAACAGUUAGAAAUGACUGCUAAUACCGCAUAAGACCACAGCACCGCAUGGUGCAGGGGUAAAAACUCCGGUGGUAUGAGAUGGACCCGCGUCUGAUUAGGUAGUUGGUGGGGUAACGGCCUACCAAGCCGACGAUCAGUAGCCGACCUGAGAGGGUGAGCGGCGACAUUGGGACUGAGACACGGCCCAAACUCCUACGGGAGGCAGCAGUGGGGAAUAUUGCACAAGGGGGGAAACCCUGAUGCAGCGACGCCGCGUGAGCGAUGAAGUAUGGCGGUAUGGAAAGCUCUAUCAGCAGGGAAGAAAAUGACGGUACCUGACUAAGAAGCACCGGCUAAAUACGUG